UACGAAGGGGGCUAGCGUUGCUCGGAAUCACUGGGCGUAAAGGGUGCGUAGGCGGGUUUUUAAGUCAGGGGUGAAAUCCUGGAGCUCAACUCCAGAACUGCCUUUGAUACUGAAGAUCUUGAGUCCGGGAGAGGUGAGUGGAACUGCGAGUGUAGAGGUGAAAUUCGUAGAUAUUCGCAAGAACACCAGUGGCGAAGGCGGCUCACUGGCCCGGUACUGACGCUGAGGCACGGAAAGCGUGGGGAGCAAACAGGAUUAGAUACCCCAGUAGCU
rnacentral:rRNA from 1 species